rnacentral:antisense_RNA from 1 species
GCUCUUCUUAUUUGCUGAAAGAGAAAAGACCACAGAAUUGAAUACCAGUGAUUUCCCGUUUUCUUAACUCUACUGAAAAGUCAUAAAACUGCAUUAGCAAUAAUUACAACUACAGUUGACCCUUGAACAACAUGGGAUUAAACUGUGUGGGUCCACUUACAUGCAGAUUUUCUUCCACUUCUGCCACCCUGAGGCAGCAAGUCAGCUCCUCUGCUCCCUCCUUCCCCUCAGCCUACUCUCCACAAAGAUGAUAAAGAAGACCUUUAUAUGAUCCACUUCCACUUAAUUAAUAUGUAUCCAAAUCAUGAGCAGCAUCUUGUGACCCUAGAAGAAAUAAAUGACACCACCUUGAACACAAAUAUAAUCAUCUUGAACUUUUAUAUAAAUUUCUACAGCAAUUCUGUUAUUAAAAAAAAAAGACCAACAA